AGAAUCAACGCUGGCGGCGUGCCUAACACAUGCAAGUCGAACGCGGUUACCCCGCAAGGGGUGACUGAGUGGCGAACGGGUGAGUAACACGUGGGCGACCUGCCUUCGAGUGGGGGAUAACAUCCCGAAAGGGGUGCUAAUACCGCAUGACAUCCUGACCUUUAAAGAGGUGGAGAUUAAAGCUGGGGAUCGUAAGACCUGGCGCUUGAAGAGGGGCCCGCGUCCGAUUAGCUAGUUGGUGGGUAACGCUACCGAAGGCGACGAUCGGUAGCCGGCCUGAGACGGGCGACGGCCAACGACGUGGACUGGAGACGACCGGCCCGAGACUCCGUAGGGAGCAGCAGGUGGGAAUUGU
rnacentral:rRNA from 1 species